rnacentral:rRNA from 2 species
AGCCUGAGAUCUGAUGGGUAGACGCAAGUCGAAAUCGGUGAUCCUAUGCUGCCAAGAAAAGCAUCGACGCGAGGUUCUAGCUGCCCGUACCCCAAACCGACUCAGGUGGUCAGGUAGAGAAUACUAAGGAGAUCGAGAGAAUCGUGGUUAAGGAACUCGGCAAAAUGCCCCCGUAACUUCGGGAGAAGGGGGGCCUGAGGCGUGAACGGACUUGCUCCGGGAGCGUUCGAUGGCCGCAGAGACCAGUGGGAAGCGACUGUUUACUAAAAACACAGGUCCGUGCUAAGUCGCAAGACGAUGUAUACGGACUGACGCCUGCCCGGUGCUGGAAGGUUAAGAGGAACGGUUAGCCGCAAGGCGAAGCUGAGAAUUUAAGCCCCAGUAAACGGCGGUGGUAACUAUAACCAUCCUAAGGUAGCGAAAUUCCUUGUCGGGUAAGUUCCGACCUGCACGAAUGGCGUAACGACUUCCCAGCUGUCUCAACCGCGAACUCGGCGAAAUUGCAUUACGAGUAAAGAUGCUCGUUACGCGCAGCAGGACGGAAAGACCCCGUGACCUUUACUAUAGUUUGGUAUUGGUGUUCGGUGUGGCUUGUGUAGGAUAGGUGGGAGACGUUGAAGCGGGCACGCUAGUGUUCGUGGAGUCAUUGUUGAAAUACCACUCUGGUCACUCUGGAUAUCUAACUUCGGACCCUAAUCGGGUUCAGGGACAGUGCCUGAUGGGUAGUUUAACUGGGGCGGUUGCCUCCCAAAGAGUAACGGAGGCGCCCAAAGGUUCCCUCAACCUGGUUGGCAAUCAGGUGGCGAGUGUAAGUGCACAAGGGAGCUUGACUGUGAGACUGACAAGUCGAGCAGGGACGAAAGUCGGGACUAGUGAUCCGGCAGUGGCUUGUGGAAGCGCUGUCGCUCAACGGAUAAAAGGUACCUCGGGGAUAACAGGCUGAUCUUGCCCAAGAGUCCAUAUCGACGGCAUGGUUUGGCACCUCGAUGUCGGCUCGUCGCAUCCUGGGGCUGGAGUAGGUCCCAAGGGUUGGGCUGUUCGCCCAUUAAAGCGGUACGCGAGCUGGGUUUAGAACGUCGUGAGACAGUUCGGUCCCUAUCCGCUGCGCGCGCAGGAAAUUUGAGAAGAUCUAUCCCUAGUACGAGAGGACCGGGAUGGACGAACCUCUGGUGUGUCAGUUGUUCCGCCAGGAGCACCGCUGAUUAGCUACGUUCGGAACGGAUAACCGCUGAAAGCAUCUAAGCGGGAAGCCGGCUUCGAGAUGAGAUUUCCAUCCCUUCGGGGGAGAGGCUCCCAGCCAGACGACUGGGUUGAUAGGCCGGAUGUGGAAGACAGGACUAAAGACUGUCGGAGCUGACCGGUACUAAUAAGCCGAUAACUUGAUAA